AAUUUUUAGUGUAGGGGCAUAUCAAAUUUUGAUUUUGAAGGUAAUAAAACGUUUAUUAAAAUUAA
rnacentral:tRNA from 1 species